UACAGGGGGUGCAAACGUUGCUCGGAAUCAUUGGGCGUAAAGCGCACGUAGGCGGUUCGUUAUGUCGGAUGUGAAAGCCCUUGGCUUAACCGAGGAAGUGCAUCCGAAACUGGCGAGCUAGAGUACGAAAGAGGAUCGCGGAAUUCCCGGUGUAGAGGUGAAAUUCGUAGAUAUCGGGAGGAACACCGGUGGCGAAGGCGGCCAUCUGGACCGUAUCUGACGCUGAGGCGCGAAAGCGUGGGGAGCAAACAGG
rnacentral:rRNA from 1 species